GAAAAAGACAGAAGAAAAAAGAAAAAAAAAAAGGCAUACAAAUAGAAAUACAAGUAUAUUAGGGAAAAAUCUUAAACAUGGCACAAAUUCUAGAUGUUUUUAUAGCUUUCUU